rnacentral:rRNA from 1 species
GACGAACGCUGGCGGCGUGCUUAACACAUGCAAGUCGAACGGAAAGGCCCUGCUUUUGUGGGGUGCUCGAGUGGCGAACGGGUGAGUAACACGUGAGUAACCUGCCCUUGACUUUGGGAUAACUUCAGGAAACUGGGGCUAAUACCGGAUAGGAGCUCCUGCUGCAUGGUGGGGGUUGGAAAGUUUCGGCGGUCGGGGAUGGACUGGCGGCUUAUCAGCUUGUUGGUGGGGUAGUGGCUUACCAAGGCUUUGACGGGUAGCCGGCCUGUGAGGGUGACCGGCCACAUUGGGACUGAGAUACGGCCCAGACUCCUACGGGAGGCAGCAGUGGGGAAUAUUGCACAAUGGGCGGAAGCCUGAUGCAGCAACGCCGCGUGCGGGAUAACGGCCUUCGGGUUGUAAACCGCUUUCGCCUGUGACGAAGCGUGAGUGACGGUAAUGGGUAAAGAAGCACCGGCUAACUACGUG